rnacentral:rRNA from 1 species
UACGUAGGGGGCAAGCGUUGUCCGGAUUUAUUGGGCGUUAAAGAGCGUGUAGGCGGCCAGACAGGUCAGCUGUGAAAACUCGAGGCUCAACCUCGAGACGUCGGUUGAAACCGUCUGGCUAGAGUCCGGAAGAGGAGAGUGGAAUUCCCGGUGAUAGCGGUGAAAUGCGCAGAUAUCGGGAAGAACACCCGUGGCGAAGGCGGCUCUCUGGGACGGUACUGGACGCUGAGACGGCGAAAGCGUGGGGAGCGAACAGG